rnacentral:rRNA from 1 species
AUUGAACGCUGGCGGCAUGCCUUACACAUGCAAGUCGAACGGUAACGCGGGGCAACCUGGCGACGAGUGGCGAACGGGUGAGUAAAGCAUCGGAACGUGCCCAGUAGUGGGGGAUAGCCCGGCGAAAGCCGGAUUAAUACCGCAUACGACCUAUGGGUGAAAGCGGGGACUCGCAAGAGCCUCGCGCUAUUGGAGCGGCC